rnacentral:rRNA from 1 species
GAUGAACGCUGGCGGUAUGCUUAACACAUGCAAGUCGAACGGUCUCUUCGGAGAUAGUGGCGGACGGGUGAGUAACGCGUGAGAAUCUGUCUUCAGGUCGGGGACAACAGUUAGAAAUGACUGCUAAUACCGGAUGUGCCGAAAGGUAAAAGAUUUAUUGCCUGAAGUUGAGCUCGCGUCAGAUUAGCUAGUAGGUGGUGUAAGAGACUACCUAGGCGACGAUCUGUAGCUGGUCUGAGAGGACGAUCAGCCACACUGGAACUGAGACACGGUCCAGACUCCUACGGGAGGCGGCAGUGGGGGAAUUUUCCGCAAUGGGCGAAAGCCUGACGGAGCAAUACCGCGUGAGGGACGAAGGCUUUUGGGUCGUAAACCUCUUUUAUUAGGGAAGAUUUCAGGACGGUACCUAAUGAAUAAGCAUCGGCUAACUCUGUGCCAGCAGCCGCGGUAAU